rnacentral:rRNA from 1 species
AGAGUUUGAUCCUGGCUCAGAAUGAACGUUGGCGGCGUGGAUUAGUCAUGCAAGUCGAGCGAGAACCCCGCAAGGGGGGACAGCGGCAAACGGGGUAGUAACGGGUAGGCAACGUACCCUCGGGUCGGGGAUAGCCACGGGAAACUGUGGGUAAUACCCGAUAAUCACCUUGGUUUUUAGAGUCGAGGUGCAAAGGUGUGAUUCCACCUGAGGAGCGGCCUGCCUCGUAUUCGCUAGUUGGUGAGGUAACGGCUCACCAAGGCGUGGAUGCGUAGGGGGUGUGAGAGCAUGACCCCCACCACUGGGACUGAGAUACUGCCCAGAAACCUACGGGUGGCGGCAGUCGAGAAUCUUCGGCAAGGGGCGAAAGCCUGACCGAGCGACGCCGCGUGUGGGAUGAAGGCCCGUGGGUUGUAAACCACUGUCAGAGGGGAUGAAGUGCGUGUGAGCAAUCUCAUACGUUUGACAUAGCCUCAGAGGAAGCACGGGCUAAGUUCGUGCCAGCCGCCGCGGUAAUAC